UACGUAGGGUGCAAGCGUUAAUCGGAAUUACUGGGCGUAAAGCGUGCGCAGGCGGUUGUGUAAGACAGAUGUGAAAUCCCCGGGCUCAACCUGGAAGACUGCAUUUGUGACUGCACAGCUGGAGUGCGGCAGAGGGGGAUGGAAUUCCGCGUGUAGCAGUGAAAUGCGUAGAUAUGCGGAGGAACACCGAUGGCGAAGGCAAUCCCCUGGGCCUGCACUGACGCUCAUGCACGAAAGCGUAGGGGAGC
rnacentral:rRNA from 1 species